GAUGAACGCUGGCGGCGUGCCUAAUACAUGCAAGUCGAGCGAACGGACGAGAAGCUUGCUUCUCUGAUGUUAGCGGCGGACGGGUGAGUAACACGUGGAUAACCUACCUAUAAGACUGGGAUAACUUCGGGAAACCGGAGCUAAUACCGGAUAAUAUUUUGAACCGCAUGGUUCAAAAGUGAAAGACGGUCUUGCUGUCACUUAUAGAUGGAUCCGCGCUGCAUUAGCUAGUUGGUAAGGUAACGGCUUACCAAGGCAACGAUGCAUAGCCGACCUGAGAGGGUGAUCGGCCACACUGGAACUGAGACACGGUCCAGACUCCUACGGGAGGCAGCAGUAGGGAAUCUUCCGCAAUGGGCGAAAGCCUGACGGAGCAACGCCGCGUGAGUGAUGAAGGUCUUCGGAUCGUAAAACUCUGUUAUUAGGGAAGAACAUAUGUGUAAGUAACUGUGCACAUCUUGACGGUACCUAAUCAGAAAGCCACGGCUAACUACGUGCCAGCAGCCGCGGUAAUACGUAGGUGGCAAGCGUUAUCCGGAAUUAUUGGGCGUAAAGCGCGCGUAGGCGGUUUUUUAAGUCUGAUGUGAAAGCCCACGGCUCAACCGUGGAAGGUCAUUGGAAACUGGAAAACUUGAGUGCAGAAGAGGAAAGUGGAAUUCCAUGUGUAGCGGUGAAAUGCGCGGAGAUAUGGAGGAACACCAGUGGCGAAGGCGACUUUCUGGUCUGUAACUGACGCUGAUGUGCGAAAGCGUGGGGAUCAAACAGGAUUAGAUACCCUGGUAGUCCACGCCGUAAACGAUGAGUGCUAAGUGUUAGGGGGUUUCCGCCCCUUAGUGCUGCAGCUAACGCAUUAAGCACUCCGCCUGGGGAGUACGACCGCAAGGUUGAAACUCAAAGGAAUUGACGGGGACCCGCACAAGCGGUGGAGCAUGUGGUUUAAUUCGAAGCAACGCGAAGAACCUUACCAAAUCUUGACAUCCUUUGACAACUCUAGAGAUAGAGCUUUCCCCUUCGGGGGACAAAGUGACAGGUGGUGCAUGGUUGUCGUCAGCCCGUGUCGUGAGAUGUUGGGUUAAGUCCCGCAACGAGCGCAACCCUUAAGCUUAGUUGCCAUCAUUAAGUUGGGCACUCUAAGUUGACUGCCGGUGACAAACCGGAGGAAGGUGGGGAUGACGUCAAAUCAUCAUGCCCCUUAUGAUUUGGGCUACACACGUGCUACAAUGGACAAUACAAAGGGCAGCGAAACCGCGAGGUCAAGCAAAUCCCAUAAAGUUGUUCUCAGUUCGGAUUGUAGUCUGCAACUCGACUACAUGAAGCUGGAAUCGCUAGUAAUCGUAGACCAGCAUGCUACGGUGAAUACGUUCCCGGGUCU
rnacentral:rRNA from 1 species